AUGUUGUGUGAAUGGAGAUAACAUUAGUACUCCUUUGGACAAGGAUGGAAUAUGCUAGUGGGCCUGACAACAUGAAUAUAGUUAAGGCAUGGCAAGAAAGUCCCUGAGAUUCUUAUCU
ensembl:snRNA